CACAAGGAACAGAUGAAAGAGGAAUAGGAAGAUGCCCGGUGCCUCCAAACAUUCUUGUUGCCUGACGGUGAGAACCGAGUUACAAACAAGCAUUGAUGUGAUAAGAAGCCUACUCCUACAGUGACGCGUUGAAGCGCGUCUUUAUUUGAUUUGUGAAACAAGCAGUGUAGUAUUGGGUUAUAUUGAAUGCAACUAUCUAAUUCUUUUGAAGUUGGUGAAGGAACAUAAAGCUUCAGUAAAUCCAUUAAAGGCUGUUAGGUAUCUUCUACCUGUGCAAUGCAACAUUGUUUUUGGAAAUGGAGAUUCCCAGAUUAAAUUAUGUGCACCUCGUGGUACAACAAGUCCCAAAUUCCUGAUGAGGCGGGCAAUAAUGCAGAUAUGUAUGCUACCUUCAGGAUUUCAGCUUGGUAUUGAUUUUUUUGUUAGUGAAGAGUUCUUACUUCCCCAUAGUUCUGAGUUAUUUUCACCUGCAGUUUAUCAUUCACUUACAUGAUUAAUGAAAACUCAGUUCUUGAUGCUCACUUUGUGGGACUGAAAAAUAUAGCAUGAUAGUAUGAAUUUAUAUUUGCAUUAUAUUCUCAAAACAAUAGCAUGAUAGUUACACUUAUACGAUAGUAUCGUUGUUAGGGUCUUGAAGAUAUUUACUUCUCUAUGGAUUCGUUUUUUCCCACAUUUUAGCAAACAUCUGUCCAUAAGGGGGCGUAGCAGAGGUCAUAGCGACAAACCAGUAGCGACGGCUUAGGAGAAGAGAAGAGGAGCACACCAAAGACGAGGGAGCAUGCAGUCCACAACCAACAAUCAUUGCAGGUGUUAGUGCCACCUAUGUUCUGUAUUAUAUUUAUGACAAUAUUAGUUUUAGAUGGACCACCUGUUGUAUCUAUCUAUGUUGCAAUCUAUGAUGGGUGGCUAACUGGGAUCUCACGGUUUAAACCCAAUAAAUCCCAGUCAUAUAUAACACCAUGGAUAAAA